rnacentral:lncRNA from 1 species
AGUCACGCCCCGGCUUCCGCCCCGCAGCCCCGAGGGGUCCGGGUGCGCUGAAGACCUCUUCGGCUGCUGGGCCAACGCCCCCACCCUUGGUCACCUACUCCUGCCGCCGAGCGGUUCGCGGGAGGUGGCCUCGGGGGUCGUAGCUACUCACCGGCGGGGCGCUCCGAGUCCAUCUGCCCCGUAGCCCGGCAGCCGGGGCGGGAGGGCUGCGAGCCCGGGGCGCGGUCCGCCUGAGGCCCGAGACCCGGGGCCGCCUGCGCUCAGGGCCGCGGUGCCGGCCGCGCGGGAGCCUGGCGGGGACAGCGCGGUCAGUGUUCGGCUCCUCCGCAGUGACUCACCAGCGUCCUGAAGCUUUUGAUCACCAUUGGCUGGGAAGGAAAAACAGAAUCAGCUGUUCCCUGCGAAAGGUAUCAUAUGUUUCUUACAAAGUGGAGGUUUGUGGCAGCCCUGCAUGGAGCAAGUCUAUCAGCACCAUCUUUCUAACAGUAUGUGCUCACUUCAUGUCUCUCUCACAUUUUGGUAAUUCUUGGAAUGUUUCCGUUAUUAAAUCAGUUAUAGUGAUCUGUGAUUAGUGAUCUUUGAUAUUACUGUCAUAAUUGCUUGGGGGGCACCAUGAACCACCCCUAUAUAAGACAGCAAACUGAGUCGAUAAAUGUUUUAUGUGUUCUGACCACUCCACUGACCAGCUGCCUCCCUAUCUCUCUCCUUCUGCUCAGACCUCCCUAUCCUUGAGACACAGCAAUACUGAAAUUAGGGGCCAGGCAUGGUGGUGGCUCAUGCCUGUAGUCCCAGCUACUUGGGAGACUGAAGCAGGAGGAUUGCUUGAGCCUAGGAGUUCGAGGCUGCAGUGAGCUGUGAUCACGCCACUGCACUUCAGCAUGGGCAGCCAAGCAAGACCCUGACUCAAAAAAAAAAAAAAAAUCAGGCAAUUAAUAGCCCUAAAAUGGCUACUAAGUGUUUCAUAAAAGAAUGAGUUGCACAUCUCUUACUUUAAAUCAAAACUAGAAAUGAUUAAUGAUUAAGCAUGGUGAGGAAGGCAUGUUGAAACAGCUAAGUCGUGAAUGCAAAGGAAAAGUUCUUGAAGGAAAUUUGAAGUGCUCCUACAGUGAAUACACAAAUGAUAAGAAAAUAAAACAGCUUUAUUGCUGAUAUGGAGAAACUCUGAGUGGUCUGUAUAGAUUAAACCAGCCACAGUAUUCUGAUAAACAAAGCCUAAUCCAGAGUAAGGCCCUAACUCUCUUCAGUUUUCUGAAGGCUGAGAGAGGUAAGGAAGCUACAGAAGAAAAAUCUGAAGCUAUCAGAGGUUGGUUCAUGAGGUUGAAGGAAAGAAGCUGUCUCUAUAAUACAAAAGUGCAAGAUAGGCCAGGCAUGGUGGCUUAUGCCUGUAAUUCCAGCACUUUGGGAGGCCAAUGCAAGUGGAUCCCUUGAGGUCAGGAGUUCAAGACCAGCCUGGCCAACAUGGUGAAACCCUGCCUCCACUAAAAAUACAAAAAUUAACUGGGUGUGGUGGCACACGCCUGUAGUCCCAGCUACUCAGGAGGCUAAGGCAGGAGGAUCACUUGAACCCAGGAGUUGGAGGUUGCUGUAAGCCAAGAUCACACCACCACACUCCUGGGUAACAGAGUGAGACUCCAUCUCAAAAAAAAAAAAAAUGUGCAAGUGCAAGAUAAAGCAGCAAGUCAUCUAGGAGAUCUACCUAAGAUCACUGAUGAAGACGGCUUUGCUAAACAAUAGGUUUUCAUUGGAGUUGAAACAACCUUAUUUUGGGAAAAGAUGCCGCCCAGGACUGUCAUAACUAGAGAGGAGAAGUCAAAGCCUGGCUUCAGAGCUCCAAAGGACAGGCUGACCCUUGCUAGGGGGCUAGUGCAGCUGAUGACUUUAUGUUGAAGCCAGUGCUCAUUUAUCAUUCUGAAAAUCCUAGAGUCCUUAAGCGUUAUGCUAAUUCUAGUCUGCCUCUGCUGUGUAGAUAGAACAACAAAGCCUAGAUGACAGCACAUCUACUUACACAGUGUGGUUUACUAAAUAUUGUCAGCCCACUGUUGAGACCUACUGCUCAGGAAAAAAAAAAGAUUUUGUUUCAAAAUAUUACUGCUGAUUUACAGUGCUCCUGUUCACCCAAGAGCUCUGAUGGAGAUAUACAAGGAGAUUCAUGUUGAUUUCAUGCCUGCUAACACAACAUCCCUUCUGCAGCCCAUAGCUCAAGAACUCAUUUUGACUUUCAAGUCUCAUUAUUUAAGAAAUACAUUUUGUAAGGCUAUGGCUGCCUGAAGAUGUAACUGAAUCACUGCACUAGCAUAAUAAAACAUGAAUGGAUAGGCAGUUGCUUCUUGUGGAUGAACAAAGAAAGUGGUCUCUUGAGAUGGAACCUAAUCCUGGUGAAGAUGUGAACACUGUUGAAAUGAUAACAAAGGAUUCAGAAUACUCCAUAGACUUAGUUUAUGAAGUAGCAGCAGGGUUUGAGAGGAUUGACUCUAACUUUGGAAGUUUUCCUGGCCGGGUGCGGUGGCUCAUGCCUAUAAUCCCAGCAUUUUGAGAGGCCAAGGUGGGCAGAUCACAAGGUCAGGAAUUCAAGACCAGCCUGGCCAACAUGGUGAAACCCCAGCUCUACUAAUAAUACAAAAAUUAGCCGGGCAUGGUGGCGCACGCCCAUAGUGCCAGCUACUCAUGAGGCUGAGGUAGGAGAAUUGCUUGAACCCAGGAGGUGGAGGUUACAGUGAGCCAAGAUCGCACCACUGCACUUCAGCCUGGGCGAAAGAACGAGACUCUGUCUCAAAAAAAAGUUUUCCUGUGGGUUAAAAAAAAUCUUUCAUGAAAAGAAUUGUCAAUCAACGUGACAAAUUUCAUUAUUGUCUUAUUUUAAGAAACUGCAACAGCCACCCCAACUUUCAAGCACCACCUUGAUCAACAGCCAUCAACAUUGAGGCAAAACCCUCCACCAGCAAAAAGAUUAUGACUCACUGAAGGCUCAGCUGAUGAUUAGCGGUAAAAAAUAUUAACUUUAAUCAUCUCGACCAUUCAGUACUCAUCUAAUAUUCUCUAUAACAAAAUGGGAAAUACACAUAAAGCACUUCUGCUACAUGCUGAAUUAUGAUUGUUGUCUCCAGGAAAAGAACUUGUGGGAACGUUUGAGUUGUAAGCUGAACUAACUAGCUGCUUUUUUCAUGAAAUACCGCUUUUACUGGAAAGAACUGACAGAUAAACUGAGGUAUUCAAACCUAGAUAUUUGGCAGACAUUUUCGUGAAAAUAAAUAUGUUCGUGCCACUUCAAGGAACAUAAUUCUCAGUACUUGUUGCCAAUAAUGUUGGAACUUUCAUGCAAAAAUUCAAAUAAAAAACAAACUUAAAACCAUCAAGAACUUGGUGACUUUAUGUGGAAACCAGUGCUACAAUACUUUAGCUUCCCAAUACUUAAAAACUUUUCUGAUGAGAUUACUAGUGAUAUUAACAAUGUGAUUGAUAUUGAAUAAUGAAAUGUUUUAGCAUUUGGAAGAUCUGUUUAAUUCAGUAAAUCAGUAUUUUCCAAAUGACCAAUGCAUGACAUUUCAACAUCACGCAUAGGAAAAUAGGCAUUCGAGGUACAGUCAAAAAUAAUGAGUUUUAAUGUAACAAGUACAAAAUGUCCAUUGAAGUGGUUUCAAAUUCCAAAUAGUAAUUGGAAAAUCCACCACUCGUGUUUUGGGGUAGUAGUAUCGAAAAAGAAUAACCAAGAUAAUUUGAAAAGGCUAUUAAAAAAUACUUCUCAAUUUUCAAACUGCAUACAGCAGGUGCUCAUUCAUUUCUUUGUAACAUUGAUGAGAAAAAGACUCCCAGCCAGGGGCACUGUCUUUGUGGUGUUUACGUGUUCUCGCCACACCUGCAUAGGUUUUCUCUGGGUGCUGCAGUUCUUGCCACAUCCCAGAGGUGUGCACGUGAGGUGAACUGGUGUGUCUUCACUGUCCCAGUCUGAGUGUGGGUGUGUGAGUGGCCCUGUGAUGGAAUGGCGUCCUGUCCAGGGCUGGUUCCCUCUUUGUGCCCUGAGCUACUGAAACAGGCUUCAGCUACACAUGACCCAGAACUGGAAUAAUUAAGUAAUAAUUAUCUUUUUAUUCAUCUUUCUUAAAUGUAUGUAUAGCUCACAUUUAUUUCAAUGUUUAAUAUUAGAAUACUUUGGCCUUUAGAAGCUUAGUGAUUUUUUUUUCCUUGGCCAGAAGUAUGCUUUAGGAACUUAAUCCUUAUUUUUCAGCCUCUGGUAAAAUUGGUUUUGCUAUACGUUGUUUCACUUAAAAGUCCUAAUUCCCAAGAACGCACUGACAGCAGUGAGGACUUGCUGCGCAUGCGGGAGGCCAGAUUUUCUUAUCUGUGUGAAGCCAGACAUGAAAGAGAUCUGUCA